AUGGCAUCACUUGAACUGAAAGCUGAUGUAGUAUCGGUGGCACCACUUGAAGUAAAUGUUGAAGGAACAGUGAUAUCGCUUGAAGUGACUGCUGAUGUUGAUGUAGUAGCUGUGGCAUCACUUGAAGUGACUAUUGAUGUAGAUGAGGGAGUGGUGGCAUCACUUAAAGAGGCUUUUGAGGGAGUGGUGGAAUCGCUUGAAAUGACUGUUAAUGUCGGUGUAGUAGUGGUGGCAUUAUUUGAAGUUGAUGUCGUUGCAGUUGAGGGAUUGGUGGCAUCACUUGAAGUGAAUAUUGAUGUCGGGGGAGAGGUGCCAUUACUUGAAGUGAAUAUUGAUGUUGAGGGAGUGGUGGCAUCACUUGAAUUGAAUGCUGAUGUUGAUGUGGUAGCGGGGGCACCACUUGAAGUGAAUGUUGAGGGUGUAGUGGCAUCACUUGAAGUGACUGUCGAUGUAGUUGAGAGAAUGUUGGCCACAGUUAAUAUUUCUGUCGGUGUAGUAGUGGUGGUAACACUUGAAGUGAAAGUCAAUGUAGUUGAGGGAGAGGUGGCAUCACUUGAAGUGAAUGUUGAUGUAGUUGAGGAAGAGGUUGCAUCACCUGAAGUGGGUGUCCAUGUGACAUUUUCUGAAGUUACUAUCAGUGUAGUUGAGGGAGUGAUGGCAUCACUUGAAGUGACUGUUGAGGCAGUGGUGGCAACAUUUGAAGUAAAGAUUGAUGUCAAGGGAGAGGUGGCAACACUUGAAGUGACUGUUGAGGGAGUGGUGGGAUUGCUUGAAGUGACUGUAGAAGGAGUGGUGGCAUCACUUGAAGAGACUGCUGAUGUUGAUGCAGUAGCAGUGGCAUCACUUGAAUCUACUGUUGAGGGAGUGGUGGCACCACUUGAUGUGAAUGUUGAUGUAGUUGAGGAAGAGGUUGCAUCACCUGAAGUGGGUGUCCAUGUGGCAUUUUCUGAAGUUACAAUCAGUGUAGUUGAGGGAGUGAUGGCAUCACUUGAAGUGACUGUUGAGGCAGUCGUGGCAACAUUUGAAGUGGUUGUUGAUGUAGUAUCGUCUGAAGUGACUAUCGAUGUAGUUGAGUGA
rnacentral:lncRNA from 1 species